rnacentral:rRNA from 1 species
CCUACGGGUGGCAGCAGUGAGGAAUAUUGGUCAAUGGACGCAAGUCUGAACCAGCCAUGCCGCGUGCAGGAAGACGGCCCUAUGAGUUGUAAACUGCUUUUGUACGAGGGUAAACGCAGAUACGCGUAUCUGUCUGCAAGUAUCGUACGAAUAAGGAUCGGCUAACUCCGUGCCAGCAGCCGCGGUAAUACGGAGGAUUCAAGCGUUAUCCGGAUUUAUUGGGUUUAAAGGGUGCGUAGGCGGUCGGAUAAGUUAGAGGUGAAAUCCCGAGGCUCAACUUCGGAAUUGCCUCUGAUACUGUUCGGCUAGAGAGGAGUUGCGGUAGGCGGAAUGUAUGGUGUAGCGGUGAAAUGCUUAGAGAUCAUACAGAACACCGAUUGCGAAGGCAGCUUACCAAGCUACUUCUGACGUUGAGGCACGAAAGCGUGGGGAGCAAACAGGAUUAGAUACCCUUGUAGUC